rnacentral:rRNA from 1 species
AGAGUUUGAUCCUGGCUCAGGAUGAACGCUAGCGGCAGGCUUAACACAUGCAAGUCGAGGGGCAGCACGUCUUCGGAUGGUGGGGACCGGCGCACGGGNNNNAGUAACGCGUAUGCAACCUACCUGUAACAGAGGGAUAGCCCAUAGAAAUGUGGAUUAAUAUCUCAUAGUUCUAUUAGAUCGCAUGAUUUGAUAGAUAAAGCUCCGGCGGUUACAGAUGGGCAUGCGUGACAUUAGCUAGUUGGUAAGGUAACGGCUCACCAAGACUACGAUGUUUAGGGGGUCUUAAAGGAUGAUCCCCCACACUGGUACUGAGACACGGACCAGACUCCUACGGGAGGCAGCAGUGAGGAAUAUUGGUCAAUGGGCGAAAGCCUGAACCAGCCAUGCCGCGUGCAGGAAGACUGCCCUAUGGGUUGUAAACUGCUUUUAUACAGGAAGAAACACUCGGACGUGUCCGAGCUUGACGGUACUGUAUGAAUAAGCAUCGGCUAACUCCGUGCCAGCAGCCGCGGUAAUACGGAGGAUGCAAGCGUUAUCCGGAUUCAUUGGGUUUAAAGAGUGCGCAGGAGGGAAAAUAAGUCAGUGGUGAAAUACUGCCGCUUAACGGUAGAAUUGCCAUUGAUACUGUUUUUCUUGAGUACAUUUGAGGUAAGCGGAAUGUGUAGUGUAGCGGUGAAAUGCUUAGAUAUUACACAGAACACCGAUUGCGAAGGCAGCUUACUAAGCCAUUACUGACGCUGAGGCACGAAAGCGUGGGGAUCGAACAGGAUUAGAUACCCUGGUAGUCCACGCCGUAAACGAUGAUUACUAGUUGUUGGCGAUACAUUGCCAGUGACUGAGCGAAAGCAUUAAGUGAUCCACCUGGGGAGUACGAUCGCAAGGUUGAAACUCAAAGGAAUUGACGGGGGCCCGCACAAGCGGAGGAACAUGUGGUUUAAUUCGAUGAUACGCGAGGAACCUUACCUGGGCUUAAAUGUAGAGCGACAGAUUGUGAAAGCAGUCCUUCUUCGGACGAUCUACAAGGUGCUGCAUGGUUGUCGUCAGCUCGUGCCGUGAGGUGUCGGGUUAAGUCCCAUAACGAGCGCAACCCUUAUCGUUAGUUGCCAGCGGAUCAUGCCGGGGACUCUAAAGGAACUGCCUACGCAAGUAGUGAGGAAGGGGGGGAUGACGUCAAAUCAGCACGGCCCUUACGUCCGGGGCGACACACGUGUUACAAUGGUAGGUACAGAGGGCAGCUACCCAGCAAUGGGAUGCGAAUCUCGAAAGCCUAUCUCAGUUCGGAUCGGAGUCUGCAACUCGACUCCGUGAAGUUGGAUUCGCUAGUAAUCGCGCAUCAGCCAUGGCGCGGUGAAUACGUUCCCGGGCCUUGUACACACCGCCCGUCAAGCCAUGGAAGCUGGGGGUGCCUGAAGUUCGUGACCGCAAGGAGCGACCUAGGGCAAAACUGGUAACUGGGGCUAAGUCGUAACAAGGUAACC